rnacentral:rRNA from 1 species
CCUACGGGUGGCAGCAGUGAGGAAUAUUGGUCAAUGGCCGGAAGGCUGAACCAGCCAUGCCGCGUGAAGGGCAGGGACCUAUGGGCGUUAAACUUCUUUUGUGCGGGAGCAAGAAUGGUCACGUGUGGCCAGACGAGAGUACCGUACGAAGAAGCAGCGGCUAACUCCGUGCCAGCAGCCGCGGUAAUACGGGGGAUGCAAGCGUUAUCCGGAUUUCUUGGGGUUCAAGGGUGCGUAGGCGGUGAGGUAAGUAAGCGGUGAAAUGCCCCCGCUCACCGGGGUGAAGUGCCAUUGAUACUGCCUUGCUGGACUGCGGAUGCCGUGGGAGGAAUGUGUGUUGUAGCGG